rnacentral:rRNA from 1 species
UACGUAGGGGGCAAGCGUUGUCCGGAUUUAUUGGGCGUAAAGAGCGUGUAGGCGGCUUGGUAGGUCCGCUGUGAAAACUCGAGGCUCAACCUCGAGAUGUCGGUGGAAACCACCUGGCUAGAGUCCGGAAGAGGAGAGUGGAAUUCCUGGUGUAGCGGUGAAAUGCGCAGAUAUCAGGAAGAACACCCGUGGCGAAGGCGGCUCUCUGGGACGGUACUGACGCUGAGACGCGAAAGCGUGGGGAGCGAACAGG